UACGUAGGGGGCAGGCGUUGUCCGGAUUUACUGGGCGUAAAGCGCGUGUAGGCGGUUGAGUUAGUCUGCUGUGAAAUCUCCGGGCUUAACCUGGAGGGGUCGGUGGAAACUGCUCGACUUGAGGACGGUAGAGGGGGGUGGAAUUCCCGGUGUAGUGGUGAAAUGCGCAGAGAUCGGGAGGAACACCAGCGGCGAAGGCGGCCCCCUGGGCCGCUCCUGACGCUGAUACGCGAAGGCCAGGGUAGCGAACGGG
rnacentral:rRNA from 1 species